ACGUCUCACGUCUGUAAUCUGUACUCUGUUCACUGUAGAAGACAGUGUAUGUUUUGGAGAAAAGUGGAACGAAAACGGUGGAAACUGUUAAUGCGUGUUACAUUGUUUACAACAUAAUAAAAAUUAUGUAUCGUGGAUGGAGCGAAUAGUAGUAUUUACUCACACCUAAUUACUACUAAAGUUCGUAAGAUGCAGGAUUGUAAGUUCUAUAUAAGAAGCACAAAUACUGACUUUGUAGAAAAGCAGCGAAACAUAUUAAACUUAAUAAACGCAUUUGAUAAGGAGAAACAUGAAAAGGAAAAGGAAGAUCCUGACAGGAGUUAUCCGGAGUCUAUGGAAGUCGACAGCACAUGUGAAAGAGUGUCACUGAAGAGGAAAAGAUCAGAAACGAAACAUUUCAGAGGUAAAGAGAGUAUUUUUAAGAAACCAAUCGACUUCCCUCCUCGUUUUCGUGUUAGAGAUAUACCAGAUCACCAAAGAAAUCCGCACAAAUGGGUGAAGUAUACUCUCGGGGAUGUGUCGCCAGACGAUAUGACAAAUCAGUCUAAUACAGCUGCUGCUCUGUCAUUUCUUCGAGAGUUGGAAGAAAGGAAACAGAAACAAACUCCAGAAGAUAACAAGGAGGAAGUCAGACGAAUCAUUUUCAAACCUUCACAUCAGGUCGCAAAGAAAGCAAGUGAACAAUUGGUAGAAGAAACUUCGAAUGCAAGUAGAACAGAGAGUUUAAAGACUUCAGUUUUUAGGAGCUCCAAACUCGUGAUGCCAGAAUACGUUGUUGGGAUGGAAAAGAAAACUAGGCCAAAAAAGAUCAAAAAAGACAAUUCUCAAUCAACUCUAAGAAAAGUGUCACUUAAUCACUUGUAUGAAAAUGAAGAUGAAUGAACAGAACACACCGUGUAAUUCCUUGUGCAUAAAUUACGCAUUCAGAUUGUGUGUGUGUGUGUGUGUGUGUGUGUGUGUGUGUGUGUGUGUGUGUGUGUGUGUGUGUG
rnacentral:misc_RNA from 1 species